UCCCCGCUCCUCCCUCCCCUCCCUCCUUUCCAUCUCAGCAGCGCCCUCAGUCUCCCUCUCGCAGGCUCAUACAAAAGCAAAAUGUCCGCCAUGUUCCGAGGCGGCUGCGGUUGUCGCGCCACGAGCUCGGCCCUCCUGCGGUUUCUCCCCGGGGCUGCUCCUCCCCGGUCCCCUCUCCCCGACCCCAGGCGCGACAGCUACUCCGAAGCCGCCGACGGCACCACUCCGCCCGCCCUCUGCGCACCCCCUCGCCGCCCGCCCCGCCGGGCGACGCAGGACCGCCUUAGGCGGGGGCAGGGGGCGCUCGCCCCAGACUGAGCGCCGUCUCUGUUCACUGACAACUUCUGUCUGCUCACCUACCAUCGGCACCAUGUGACCAGAACCCAUGCCAUUGGCUGCCAAUUAUGUGAUGGUGAUUCGAAAAGAAGAGUGAAUUUGAGCAACAGUUGUACAGAAGUACAGAAGCAGAUGCUUGGACAGUUUGCACAGAAAAUUCUUCGCUAACUGCAAUCGAUCAAUCCUGCCAGUGGCGAAGACGAAAAUAUUUCAGAAGCAGCAAACUUCUUUCCUGGCAGGACGUACUCACAUUCCUUUAGAUCCCUCCCCCGUCUUGAUCAGUAUUUGUGAGUUGGUUGCUGGCCUUGCAUUCCACAUAUAUCUACUUAGAAAGGAAACUAAAGCUUAAACACAGUUACAGU
rnacentral:lncRNA from 10 species